GCCAACGACCAUACCACGUUGAAUACACCAGUUCUCGUCCGAUCACUGAAGUUAAGCAACGUCGGGCGUAGUUAGUACUUGGGUGGGUGACCGCUUGGGAACACUACGUGCCGUUGGCU
rnacentral:rRNA from 1 species